rnacentral:rRNA from 1 species
UACGUAGGGUGCGAGCGUUUGUCCGGAAUUAUUGGGCGUAAAGAGCUCGUAGGCGGUUUGUCGCGUCUGCCGUGAAAGUCCGGGGCUCAACUCCGGAUCUGCGGUGGGUACGGGCAGACUAGAGUGAUGUAGGGGGAGACUGGAAUUCCUGGUGUAGCGGUGGAAUGCGCAGAUAUCAGGAGGAACACCAAUAGCGAAGGCAGCUCGCUGGGACGUUACUGACACUGAGGCGCGAAAGCGUGGGGAGCGAACAGG